rnacentral:lncRNA from 1 species
GGAUGUAGCGAGGAUGCGGCGGGUCACCUCGGAUCCGAGGUCGAACUCUUCACCGGCGAGGCACUCCGCGAUGGUGCCACGGCAGCCGGCAAGCGCCGGGAUCCAGCCGAGGGGAAGCUCGCCCCCUUCUCCGCUUGCGGCGGCCGGGGUGAUGGCGGCCGCACCUGCAACGAGGAGGAUGGCCGCCACAAGGAGGGAGCUUUCCACCAGCUUCGCCAUUCUUUCUCUAAGGAGACGAAAGAAAAAGAAGACUCUCUCUCUCUCUUUUAGUACGAGUAGUUGCCUGGCGCUCUCCUUUCUUUGUACUAAUAACUCGUGAGGGAGGGAGGAAGAUGACCAGAGAAGG